GAUGAACGCUGCGGCGUGCCUUAUCCAUGCUAGUCGAGCGAACGGACGCGAAGCUUGCUUCUCUGAUGUUAGCGGCGGACGGGUGAGUAACACGUGGAUAACCUACCUAUAAGACUGGGAUAACUUCGGGAAACCGGAGCUAAUACCGGAUAAUAUUUUCAACCGCAUGGUUCAAAAGUGAAAGACGGUCUUGCUGUCACUUAUAGAUGGAUCCGCGCUGCAUUAGCUAGUUGGUAAGGUAACGGCUUACCAAGGCAACGAUGCAUAGCCGACCUGAGAGGGUGAGCGGCCACACUGGAACUGAGACACGGUCCAGACUCCUACGGGAGGCAGCAGUAGGGAAUCUUCCGCAAUGGGCGAAAGCCUGACGGAGCAACACCGCGUGAGUGAUGAAGGUCUUCGGAUCGUAAAACGCUGUUAUUAGGGAAGAACAUAUGUGUAAGUAACUGUGCACAUCUUGACGGUACCUAAUCAGAAAGCCACGGCUAACUACGUG
rnacentral:rRNA from 1 species